GAUGAACGCUGGCGGCGUGCCUAAUACAUGCAAGUCGAGCGAACAGACGAGGAGCUUGCUCCUCUGACGUUAGCGGCGGACGGGUGAGUAACACGUGGAUAACCUACCUAUAAGACUGGGAUAACUUCGGGAAACCGGAGCUAAUACCGGAUAAUAUAUUGAACCGCAUGGUUCAAUAGUGAAAGACGGUUUUGCUGUCACUUAUAGAUGGAUCCGCGCCGCAUUAGCUAGUUGGUAAGGUAACGGCUUACCAAGGCAACGAUGCGUAGCCGACCUGAGAGGGUGGUCGGCCACACUGGAGCUGAGACACGGUCCAGACUCCUACGGGAGGCAGCAGUAGGGAAUCUUCCGCAAUGGGCGAAAGCCUGACGGAGCAGCGCCGCGUGAGUGAUGAAGGUCUUCGGAUCGUAAAACUCUGUUAUUAGGGAAGAACAAAUGUGUAAGUAACUAUGCACGUCUUGACGGUACCUAAUCAGAAAGCCACGGCUAACUACGUG
rnacentral:rRNA from 1 species